rnacentral:rRNA from 1 species
UACGGAGGGUGCGAGCGUUGUCCGGAAUCAUUGGGCGUAAAGCGCGUGUAGGCGGCCCGGUAAGUCCGCUGUGAAAGUCGGGGGCUCAACCCUCGGAUGCCGGUGGAUACUGUCGGGCUAGAGUGCGGAAGAGGCGAGUGGAAUUCCUGGUGUAGCGGUGAAAUGCACAGAUAUCAGGAGGAACACCGGUGGCGAAGGCGGGUCUCUGGGCCGAUACUGACGCUGAGGAGCGAAAGCGUGGGGAGCGAACAGG